rnacentral:rRNA from 1 species
AACGAACGCUGGCGGCAUGCCUAACACAUGCAAGUCGAACGAGACCUCCGGGUCUAGUGGCGCACGGGUGCGUAACGCGUGGGAACCUGCCCUUAGGUUCGGAAUAACUCCCCGAAAGGGGUGCUAAUACCGGAUAAUGUCUACGGACCAAAGAUUUAUCGCGUUUGGAUGGGCCCGCGUUGCAUUAGCUAGUUGGUAGGGUAAAAGCCUACCAAGGCGACGAUCGAUAGCUGGUCUGAGAGGAUGAUCAGCCACACUGGGACUGAGACACGGCCCAGACUCCUACGGGAGGCAGCAGUGGGGAAUAUUGGACAAUGGGCGAAAGCCUGAUCCAGCAAUGCCGCGUGAGUGAUGAAGGCCUUAGGGUUGUAAAGCUCUUUUACCCGGGAUGAUAAUGACAGUACCGGGAGAAUAAGCUCCGGCUAACUCCGUG